rnacentral:lncRNA from 1 species
CUCAUUUUCUUGAUUUGAUAGCUACUCUCUCUUAUUCAUAUCAUCAGUAAGAUAUUCUCACCACAUAUGAUGCAUGAGUAAGCAAGCUUUAAACAAGUAAAGGAGGAACUCAGUGAGACUGAAGAAAGUGGUAACCCAAAGAGGUUACAACCGAGGAGCUGCAAACAUAGCCUGACUUCAAGAGACCCGAGGGGAUAAACCGAAUAAGAAUCAAAGUCACCUAAGUCAGCUUAUGGUAAAAAGAAGUUGAUUCCAACCACUAGAUAC